rnacentral:lncRNA from 1 species
AAGACCAGACUUGGUAAAUUGGAGCCUCUGGGCCUGCAAAAUCUUCGCUUUUUCUGCAUCAGAUGAUCAUAUAGCUUAAUCACCAAAGGAUGGAGGGGGAACAUAGAAUCUGAAUCUAACAAUCAUUCCAUAAAGAAGCAGAAAACAAGAUAUAAUUAUGAAAUUGAAACAUGAAAUAGUCAGCUUGUCAAAGAUGUCCUAUAGCCUUCUUAGCAAAUCAAAUUAUAUGAUUGUAUUCUCAAUUUCAUGAUUUCAUCGAUGAUGUUAAAAGCAACUAACUAUUCCACCCAAGCGUAUUAGGCAAUUUCCAGCUGCUGCACAUAGAAUUCCUAAGGCACCAUUGCACAUGAUCAAAAGUUGAAUGGCAUAAUAAAAUUGGUUUAGAAAUACCAUGCUCUAAGGGAACACCUAAAGCAGAUAAGUGUUUAGCAAGCAUCAAAAAAUUUUUUGAUAAAGCUCCAUCCUCUCAAAUUUGCAGUUGGCAAACUUUACCUAAUGGUUUCCUGAUUUCAAUACACAUAUUUAGCAUGUAAUGUCUCACUCAGAUGCAACAGGCAUCCCAAGAUACAUCCACAUUAUAUGGAUAGUAACUUCCUUUUCCUCCAUAAAGGUGGAUAUAUACCACAUAUUAUAUUAUGGGAAAAAUGGACUGCAACUUUAAGAAACUAUUUAUGAUGCUGGAAUAUUAGCAUUUUCCCAAAGUUAAUAUUAUGUUUUUUAAUAGAUUUCAUCGUAUAUAAGGAACUCAGAAAUUUGGAAAUAAACAGAGUAGUUCCUCCAUCAAAUUAUACAAGAUGCACCUAAAGGAUCAAUACAAUUUAGAACUUUGUUCAAGACAAAGGUACACUCUUUGUAGUACAACAAAAUAAGUUUUGAUACACACACACACAUUUUUUUUUAAAAAAAAGU